rnacentral:rRNA from 1 species
CAGAAUAAGGACCGGCUAAUUCCGUGCCAGCAGCCGCGGUAAUACGGAAGGUCCAAGCGUUAAUCGGAAUUACUGGGCGUAAAGCGCGCGUAGGUGGUUUAUUAAGUUGGGUGUGAAAUCCCCGGGCUCAACCUGGGAACUGCAUCCAAAACUGAUUCACUAGAGUACGAUAGAGGGAGAUAGAAUUCACAGUGUAGCGGUGGAAUGCGUAGAUAUUGUGAAGAAUACCAAUGGCGAAGGCAGCCUGCUGGAUCUGUACUGA